rnacentral:rRNA from 1 species
GACGAACGCUGGCGGCGUGCUUAACACAUGCAAGUCGAACGGAAAGGCCUGCUUUCCCUUGUGGAUUGCGGGUACUCGAGUGGCGAACGGGUGAGUAACACGUGAGUGAUCUGCCCCCAACUUGGGUAUAGCCUGGGAAACCGGGUCUAAUUUCCGAUAGGACCGCAGGGUGGUGCCUGUGGUGGAAAACGAUUUUCUAGUGGUUGGGGAUGAGCUUGCGGCCCAUCAGGUUGUUGGUGGGGUAAUGGCCUACCAAGGCGGCGACGGGUAGCCGGGCUGAGAGGGUGGACGGCCACAUUGGGACUGAGAUACGGCCCAGACUCCUACGGGAGGCAGCAGCGGGGAAUAUUGCACAAUGGGCGGAAGCCUGAUGCAGCGACGCCGCGUGGGGGAUGACGGCCUUCGGGUUGUAAACUCCUUUCGACCGCGAGGAAGCCACCUGGUUGGAAGGGUGGUGACGGUAGUGGUAGAAGAAGCACCGGCUAACUACGUG